GAGCUCUUGGCAGAGGAUGAGGAGGAGGAGGAAGGCGAGGAUGAAGCAGAGUGGCUGGACUUGAGGCUUUCCACUGAGCUGGGCUUGGGUUUGUGCAGGAGCCGCCUAAACCAACCUGCAGAGUGAAGUCACGGUCUCAUUCCUGUGACGCUGCUGGUGGUGGCCAACAACUGACACUGCCUUCAUCUCCUCAUCAUCCUCAACCCCUCCAAUACCUGGUGGUUCCUUCUCAAUGCCCUCUGAGAGAUGAGCUCCAGGUCUUUGAAGAACUCCUGUUGGACACUGAAUGUUCCCUCCAUGCUAACACCUGGCUGUGGCUUCCACAAGUAUUUCCAUGUCUACUCACCCACCACCUUCAGCAAAACGACAGACAGUAGCACAAAACUACGUGACAUGGGGGGCACUCCCUGAUGGCUUUGAGCCCUUGCCAUAAACACCUCCCCAUCCCAAAGGAUUUCCCAAGCCAGGCCAUCUAUGAGCCCUGGGAGGCACCUUGGGGGUGCAGGAGCAGGCAGGAUCCUCCUGCAGGGCCCCCAGCCCACCCUCAAACACGGUGCUGAGAGCCAGAGGAACCUGGGCAGCCUGUGCCCAAAAAUGCACAGUGAAUUCCCCGAGAGACACCGGGCUCCUUCCCACCCUUCAGCUGCCUUUCUCUCCACCAAGCAGGGGACACCAGUUGGCCGCUUGGUGGCCAAAUCCCAAAGGAAAAAGCGCAAGGCUGAGUGGUCCUGAGCGCCACAGGCUGCCAGCCAUGGCCCCAGCACCACUCAUCCCUCUGGGACCCAUUUCCCAUUAGUCCCAGCCCCAGCACUGCUGCCACCACCCCAAAAAUCAACUCCCGAGGACAGGACCCAGAGGAGAGCAAGUCACCUGCCUGUGUGAGUCACCCCACAGGGGGAACCCACAAACCCUGAACCCCAAGGGGAGCGCCAUCUGGAUCAACCCCCAGCCUACCUCAGCAAUAAUAUCACCAUUAUUAAAGGGGCAAUUAAGCAGGCACAGCUGUGUUCACAGUGUGCCUUGACCCACCAGCAGCAGCACCACUCUGACAUCCCUGCAGCAGGAGUUUCGGAACCUGUGAUUUACAGGAUCGCCUCUGGAAUUAAGAAACGGUGACGACCAGGUGCUGCAAGACUGGGUGAAAUAAAGGUGGUUCUGUUGACAAAAUAAAGCUAAUUUUAUCCCGUUAAAACACCACGAAUGUUUCAUUUACGGUACCAGUAGAAAACAGUGCAUAGCUACC